GACAGACGAGAAGCGACAGGCGGUCUACCUGGACAUGGAUCACCUGCUGCUGGUGCUGCUGUUGCUGUGGAGCUCAGCUUUGACUUUCUCCUCAGGACUCCAGGCUGAAGGAAGUCACACCUCAACAGGUGCUCGGUGUGACACCACAGCCAAGGCUGACAUCGUGCUGUUGGUGGACGGCUCCGGGAGCAUCGGCAACUUAGAAUUUGAAAUCUUCAAGUCUUUUAUCUCUAGCAUAGUCAGAAACCUC